rnacentral:lncRNA from 1 species
AUUAUUGCUUGAGGGUGCCAAGAACUGUAGCAGUAAGAGCAGAAGCAGAAAUGAAGAACACGAAGGAUGCUAUGGAGUGAGAGAAAAGUCCAUGCUUGCAAGAAUCCAAAGACACCCUGUGAGGACGCCCCAAAAUACUCGAGGAAGUGUAUAAAGAUGGUGCCUCCACAUAAACUGAACAUAUGGCCGGCAAAGAGCACCCCUAUUCCAUCAUCCAAGUUCUCCUUCCUUAGCUGAAGUGAAAACAUUUGAAAUUGAUGAUACAAAGUGCUGGGGAGGGUGGAGAGAAAUGGCCCCUGUCUAAGCUAUAUGGAGAGUGAAUAGCAAGGCAGUUUGCCAAUAUCUAUCACUUGUUAAAUCCACAUACACUUUGCUCCAGGAAUUAGAAU